rnacentral:rRNA from 1 species
UCCGGAGGGGGCUAGCGUUGUUCGGAAUUACUGGGCGUAAAGCGCACGUAGGCGGCUUUGCAAGUUAGAGGUGAAAGCCCAGGGCUUAACCCUGGAAUUGCCUUUAAGACUGCAUCGCUAGAAUCGUGGAGAGGUGAGUGGAAUUCCGAGUGUAGAGGUGAAAUUCGUAGAUAUUCGGAAGAACACCAGUGGCGAAGGCGACUCACUGGACACGUAUUGACGCUGAGGUGCGAAAGCGUGGGGAGCAAACAGG